rnacentral:rRNA from 1 species
GUGGGGAAUCUUGCGCAAUGGGGGAAACCCUGACGCAGCGACGCCGCGUGGAGGAUGAAGGCCUUCGGGUUGUAAACUCCUUUUCUUGGGGAAAAUUGUGAUGGUACCCAAGGAAUAAGCCACGGCUAACUCUGUGCCAGCAGCCGCGGUAAGACAGAGGUGGCAAGCGUUGUUCGGAAUUACUGGGCUUAAAGGGCGAGUAGGCGGCAGGGCAAGUCUAGGGUGGAAUCCUAUGGCUUAACCAUAGAAUUGCCUUAGAAACUGCUUUGCUUGAGUCAGUGAGGGGAUGGCGGAAUUCCUGGUGUAGCGGUGAAAUGCGUAGAUAUCAGGAGGAAGGCCCGUGGCGAAGGCGGCCAUCUGGCACUGCACUGACGCUGAGGCGCGAAAGCGUGGGGAGCAAACAGGAUUAGAUACCCCAGUAGUCC